rnacentral:rRNA from 1 species
UGGGGAAUAUUGCACAAUGGGCGAAAGCCUGAUGCAGCAACGCCGCGUGAGUGAUGAAGGCCUUCGGGGUUGUAAAAGCUCUGUCUUUUGGGACGAUAAUGACGGUACCAAAGGAGGAAGCCACGGCUAACUACGUGCCAGCAGCCGCGGUAAUACGUAGGUGGCAAGCGUUGUCCGGAUUUACUGGGCGUAAAGGAUGCGUAGGCGGAUUUUUAAGUGAGAUGUGAAAUACCCGGGCUUAACUUGGGUGCUGCAUUUCAAACUGGGAAUCUAGAGUGCGGGAGAGGAGAAUGGAAUUCCUAGUGUAGCGGUGAAAUGCGUAGAGAUUAGGAAGAACACCAGUGGCGAAGGCGAUUCUCUGGACCGUAACUGACGCUGAGGCAUGAAAGCGUGGGUAGCAAACAGGAUUAGAUACCCUGGUGGUCCACGCCGUAAACGAUGAGUACUAGGUGUAGGAGGUAUCGACCCCUUCUGUGCCGCAGUUAACACAAUAAGUACUCCGCCUGGGAAGUACGAUCGCAAGA